rnacentral:rRNA from 1 species
AGUUUUAUGAGGUAAAGCGAAUGAUUAGAGGCCUUGGGGUUGAAACAACCUUAACCUAUUCUCAAACUUUAAAUAUGUAAGAAGCCCUUGUUGCUUAAUUGAACGUGGGCAUUCGAAUGUAUCAACACUAGUGGGCCAUUUUUGGUAAGCAGAACUGGCGAUGCGGGAUGAACCGAACGUCGGGUUAAGGUGCCGGAAUGCACGCUCAUCAGAUCCCAUAAAAGGUGUUAGUUCAUCUAGACAGCAGGACGGUGGCCAUGGAAGUCGGAACCC